UGGGGAAUAUUGGACAAUGGGGGGAACCCUGAUCCAGCCAUGCCGCGUGUGUGAAGAAGGCCUUAUGGUUGUAAAGCACUUUAAGCGAGGAGGAGGGUACUGGUAUUAAUACUACCAGCUACUGGACGUUACUCGCAGAAUAAGCACCGGCUAACUCUGUGCCAGCAGCCGCGGUAAUACAGAGGGUGCGAGCGUUAAUCGGAUUUACUGGGCGUAAAGCGUGCGUAGGCAGCUAAUUGAGUCGGAUGUGAAAUCCCCGAGCUUAACUUGGGAAUUGCAUUCGAUACUGGUUAGCUAGAGUGUGGGAGAGGAUGGUAGAAUUCCAGGUGUAGCGGUGAAAUGCGUAGAGAUCUGGAGGAAUACCGAUGGCGAAGGCAGCCAUCUGGCCUAACACUGACGCUGAGGUACGAAAGCAUGGGGAGCAAACAGG
rnacentral:rRNA from 1 species